CAUCACACCAUUUCUUGCAUUCUAAUGCAUUCUCACAUCUUUACAAAAUCCCCCCGUUCCGCCACACGCCGUGGAUGUGCUCGUUUUGUCGACUUACAGUUCGGUAUUUCUGCACGUUUGACUUGUCCAGUGAGAAGAUGCACGAUAAAGAUGCAGUGUUUUGCAUGCUCUAAUUUGCACGUUUUAUUACCAGGAGUCAGUGGACACAAUAAAAAUGGAUGCGUCGGGAGAUUUGUCUCUUUACGAUGCAUCGACCUGCCGCUCUGCUUUCAACAGGAGGCUGUCGGUCUGUGUGAAGGCUCUGUCGCCUGGAAAGAAAAGGCUCUAUGUUCAGUGCAGUUGUGCUGGUGCUUGGCUGCCUGCUGCAGAGGAAGCUAGUGACCACAGAGGGGCAUCGUGGGACCAACCGGCAUGUCUUCUAUGCAGUGCGAAUGGACGGAGGCAUCCGAGCUGCCAGAGCUCUGGCCGCGCAGCACAGACUGGAGUUCAUACAACAGGUUGGCAGCCUGGAGGAUCUGUACACCCUUAAAGACAGCAGGGGGCGCCCUGACAGAGCCACCUUUGAGAGCAGACUCUCCACCGCAGUAGGGGUGAGUAUUUUAACUACUCCAUUAAAUAGAAGAAGAAGAAGAAGAAGAAGAAGAAGAAGAAGAAGAAGAAGAAGAAGAAGAAGAAGAAGAAGAAGAAGAAGAAGAAGAAGUUUAUCAAUCCCUCGAGGGGAAAUUCACAGUUGGGUGUUAGAUUCCUUGCUCAAGGGCACCUCGGCAGCGCCCAGGUGGCGAACUGACACAUCUCCAGUUACCACUCCACAAUAAACUCCGGUAAAUAAAAUACCCAUCAUACAUAAGGAUCUAGAGAGGGGAUCAAGCUGCAGGUUCCCAAAGAAGCCGCUCUGAGGUUGUUGUUUUUUUGGCCUUCCUCACACUGUCUGUGUAACACAGCGGGAAAUGGAUUUGUAACUACAGCAAAUCAGAGCGUUCAGCUACUUAGACGUGACUGUUUGAUACAUUUAACACGGCCACGUCAAGGUGAAUUCACACUCUGGCAUCGGUUCUGAUUUUACACAGCAUGUAUAUGCAAAUAGGAGUUCAUUUGGCUGGUGUUGCUGUUUUAAUCAGGGUCUAGUGUUGAUUAGCGAGAAGGAUGAAAAAAAAAUAAAACAGAGCCAUGUGGUGAGUAAUGGCUGAAAGUUGUUUACCUUGCUUGUGUGCCUGUUCUAUCCAAUAUCACUUUGUGCCCCCCCCCCCCCUUCGCCACCUUCAACAAGCCGUUCUGCAUCACCCUUCGGAGCGCACAAUGCAGCCUCCUCAAAGGGCUUUUGUUGCCAGGGAAACCGUCACCCACGGAGACAUCCCAUGACAGCACAGGGUGAGGGAGGAGGGAGGGGGAGGCAGCUUUGGCCCUGUCCGUUCUCCGGGGUGCACCAGACCUCUGGCCCUUCCCCAGCACACUGCCCCUUCAGUGACACACACACACACACACGCACGCACGCACACACACACACACACACACACACACACACACACACACACACACACACACACACACACACACACACACAAAGCAACAAUAGAUUUAUACAAAGGAAAGACACUUACACAUGCACCAUACACACAAGCAAGAAAAAGAAAUGGACAGAGAGUAGAAGAGAGAGAAGAUUCCCAACUUUCUGAUUCAGAGUUAUCAUCUGAAUCAGUGUGCGUGUGAUUAAUUGAAGUAAUUUAUUCACAAUCUCCAGUGACUCCAUGUAUGGUUCAUGAUUUCAUUAAACUGUAA
ensembl:lncRNA